rnacentral:rRNA from 1 species
CCUACGGGAGGCAGCAGUAGGGAAUUUUCGGCAAUGGGGGGAACCCUGACCGAGCAACGCCGCGUGAACGAAGAAGUUAUUCGUAAUGUAAAGUUCUUUUAACAGGGAAGCAAGAGAAAUUUGACGGUACCUGAAGAAUAAGCUCCGGCUAACUACGUGCCAGCAGCCGCGGUAAUACGUAGGGGUCGAGCGUUAUCCGGAUUUACUGGGUGUAAAGGUAGCGUAGACGGCUGGUCAAGUCUGAAGUGAAAGCCUGGGGCUUAACCCCGGAACGGCUUUGGAAACUGAGCAGCUAGAGUGCUGGAGAGGUAAGCGGAAUUCCUAGUGUAGCGGUGAAAUGCGUAGAUAUUAGGAGGAACACCAGUGGCGAAGGCGGCUUACUGGACAGUAACUGACGUUGAGGCUCGAAAGCGUGGGGAGCAAACAGGAUUAGAUACCCCUGUAGUC